AUACGUAGGUGGCAAGCGUUGUCCGGAAUUAUUGGGCGUAAAGCGCAUGUAGGCGGUUUGGUAAGUCGGUCGUGAAAAUGCGGUGCUUAACGCCGUAUGGCGAUUGAAACUGCUGAACUUGAGUGCAGGAGAGGAAAGGGGAACUCCCAGUGUAGCGGUGAAAUGCGUAGAUAUUGGGAAGAACACCGGUGGCGAAGGCGCCUUUCUGGACUGUGUCUGACGCUCAGAGGCGAAAGCCAGGGUAGCGAACGGGAUUAGAUACCCCGGUAGUCCUGGCCGUAAACGAUGGGUACUAGGUGUGGGAGGUAUCGACUCCUUCCGUGCCGGAGUUAACGCAAUAAGUACCCCGCCUGGGGAGUACGGCCGCAAGGCUUAAACUCAAAGGAAUUGACGGGG
rnacentral:rRNA from 1 species